AAUACAAAAUUCUUGUUUGUAAAAAAGUUAAACGAAAAUAAUAACAAAUGAAAAUGUUUCCAAGAGAUCAGGAUCAGCCAGACCCACUUCCAGCUUCCACUCCUAAUGGCAGUCGAAUUUUUAAAUACUAGAUGCCAUUGUGCGGAUGGAUAAGAAUACAUCAGCUCAGAAAAUUGUCGAUGCACUACCCGUCAGUGGAAGCAGAGAAAGACCUCCAGGUAGAGAGGGACCCGGCUUUACUUGGUGUUUCUAAUUGGCGCCAAACAGUGAAAAGCAGAAACUAAAGACAGCCUGAGGUGAUGCAAUCGAUUGUGAUGGAAGAGGCAAACUGUUUCAUAAACUUUAUGUGAUGUCAUACAGAGCGGUCUGGAGUGGAUAGAAAAAAAAUAUAAAAUUUCAAGUUUUCAACACCAAUCAGGACAUUAAACUGGUCACAGUAGUAGGAGGAAAGGACCCAAAAGGCAUUCAUCGCUCUUUAUUAUUAUUAUGUUGUUAUAUAAUGGUGCUUGUGCCGUUAUAAGGCCAUAAAGGUAUCCGGACAGAUUGAAGCCACCAAAUGCAAACUCGGUUCAUGGGUCAAAACUAGAUAGCAGAGUUGGUGGCGGAGCUUGUUAGCUAAUUCCAAAUUCUUUCGUUUACCUCAUCGCUGUAAUAUUUUUCAUGAGGAAUCGGCAGCUGUCCAUGAGGCUGUCAAAGGUUUUAGCUCCAUGGAAUAUCGUGUUCAUAUCUUCUCUGAUAGCCAAUUUUCGUUAAGAGUCCUGGAAACGUUUGGAGACAUGUGCAGGAUAGCGCGAGACAACCAUACGGUGGUUGCUCAAUUUUGCAAACUUCAUAUAUUGGUCUGACUAUCGGGUGGAGGUCAUUAGGAUUCUCAGCCCGUUUGGUGGUCUAAGUAAGGCAUAUUCGGCAACCGUUACACUUUUGCAAUCAAGAUUCAAAGAUGUUUCAAUACCUGCUCAAAUAAAAACAAAGUGUUGAAAGCUAA